rnacentral:rRNA from 1 species
GAAUUUAAUAAUAAAAUUUAUUUAAAGAUAAAAAUUAAUUAUUUAAUUGGGAGGAUUUUUAAAUUAAAAUAACUUUAAUAAAAAAAUUAAAUCAUUUAUUUAUGAAAUUUAUUAAAUAAAAUUUAUUUAAAUUAAAAUUAAUUACCUUAGGGAUAACAGCAUAAAAUUAUUUAUUAGAUCAUAUAUAAAAUAAUAUUUGU